GGACUACCGGGGUAUCUAAUCCUGUUUGCUCCCCACGCUUUCGCGCCUCAGCGUCAGUUAAUGUCCAGCAGGCCGCCUUCGCCACUGGUGUUCCUCCCAAUAUCUACGCAUUUCACCGCUACACUGGGAAUUCCGCCUGCCUCUCCAUCACUCAAGACCAGCAGUUUCAAAAGCAGUUUGGGGGUUAAGCCCCCAGAUUUCACUUCUGACUUGCCAGUCCGCCUACUCGCCCUUUACACCCAGUAAAUCCGGAUAACGCUUGCUCCCUACGUAUUACCGCGGCUGCUGGCAC
rnacentral:rRNA from 1 species